CGCAGGCGGUUUCUUAAGUCUGAUGUGAAAGCCCCCGGCUCAACCGGGGAGGGUCAUUGGAAACUGGGAGACUUGAGUGCAGAAGAGGAGAGUGGAAUUCCAUGUGUAGCGGUGAAAUGCGUAGAUAUAUGGAGGAACAGCAGUGGCGAAGGCGGCUCUCUGGUCUGUAACUGACGCUGAAGGCUCGAAAGCGUGGGGAGCAAACAGGAUUAGAUACCCUGGUAGUCCACGCCGUAAACGAUGAGUGGCAAGUGUUGGAGGGUUUCCGCCCUUCAGUGCUGCAGCUUACGCAUUAAGCACUCCGCCUGGGGAGUACGACCGCAAGGUUGAAACUCAAAGGAAUUGACGGGGGCGGGCACAAGCGGUGGAG
rnacentral:rRNA from 1 species